GACGAACGCUGGCGGCGUGCCUAAUACAUGCAAGUCGAGCGGAUCUUACCUUCGGGUAAGGUUAGCGGCGGACGGGUGAGUAACACGUAGGCAACCUGCCUGUAAGACCGGGAUAACAUUCGGAAACGAAUGCUAAUACCGGAUACGCAGUUUGAUCGCAUGAUCGGACUGGGAAAGACGGUGCAAGCUGUCACUUACAGAUGGGCCUGCGGUGCAUUAGCUAGUUGGUGAGGUAACGGCUCACCAAGGCGACGAUGCAUAGCCGACCUGAGAGGGUGAUCGGCCACACUGGGACUGAGACACGGCCCAGACUCCUACGGGAGGCAGCAGUAGGGAAUCUUCCGCAAUGGACGAAAGUCUGACGGAGCAACGCCGCGUGAGUGAUGAAGGUUUUCGGAUCGUAAAGCUCUGUUGCCAGGGAAGAACAGCCAAGGGAGUAACUGCCCUUGGAAUGACGGUACCUGAGAAGAAAGCCCCGGCUAACUACGUGCCAGCAGCCGCAGUAACAC
rnacentral:rRNA from 1 species